UUCGGAAAGGGUCUUGUGGUAUUUACCCUAUGGAAUCCUUAGGGUGGCCCCAUUUUACAGAUGAGGAAGGGGGGGCCCAGGUCACAGACCUGCUAGGAUUCAGACCCAGGGCUGCUGGCCUUAGCUCAUCAAAUGAGUGACCGAGUGAAGAAAUGACACGGCCCGAGGGAGUGAAUAAUGGUGGGGGCCUGGGUUCCUCCCUGUACAGUCGCUGAGGGUGGCUCUAGGCACUGUGAUGUCAUGGAUGAGGGGCCUGUGCCAGGAGGCUGGGGGCACAUCACAGCUCUGAGUGGCACCUGGGGAGGGGGGACCCCCCCCCCCGCCCCUGGGGCCAGCGCUGGUGGGAGGGGUCUUCUGUUCAUCUCUGUGCAUUUUAUAUUUUACUCAUUUUCUACAAAGGCAAGUGUGCCUUGCCUUUCAUAAUGUGAAAAGAAAACCACAAAAAAUUAAGACUCUUAGAUAAAAGCACAUUUAGACAUAAAUUAACUGAGAAAAUGUAGCUAAAGUGAGCUCUUAGCAGGAUGCUUAGUCAAAAGUGGUCUCCCGCAUGAGGGGAAGCAGGUGGCUGGGUUGCCGAUGAGUGUCUGUCCACUGUCCCCUCCAGAAGGACGGGGUGUGCCGCUGCGUCCACCCCCAAGCUGUGAUAAUCACUGACCUUUAUGUCGUGGUGACCAAAUGCUAUCUCCACAGUAACCUCGUGAGGGAGCGUGGCGUCCCGCAAAGGGCGUGUUCAGGGCCAACAGACCUGGAUGUGCGAGGCCCUGCGGCCCCACUCACUGCGUCUGCGAGCUCAGAGGGGGAAACUGAGGCACAGAGCUGCCCAGCCCCUCCGGACUGUGGGGCUGUGGACCGUGCCCGCUACUGGUCCCACAGGGCGUGGGGCUGUCACCUGGCCACGGGGCUUUGUCUCCUCCAGGUGCAGGGAAGGACCUCAGGCGGCAGGAGAAGGUUCUGGGCCCGGGAGCCUCCUGCUCCUCCCACGGUGAGACAGGUGCGUGAGCAUUCCUGCUGGGCCCUCCCCAGGCGGGAAGCAGGGGAUGCCAGGAGCCGGGAGGGUGACAGUCUGGCAGGUGCCCUUGGGCCUGUGCCGGCUCCACAGGACGGAGAGAGGGAGGGGGAGGGGUGAGAAAGAUGACGGAUGGCCGGCGCCUGCCGCGUUUUCCGUGGGUGUCUGGCUGGUGACCUUUGGGAGGAAUGGAUUCAGAAGUGAGUGCU
rnacentral:lncRNA from 1 species